GCUUUAUCAUUUUCAUCUCCAAGUCUGGACUCUAAUUGAAAUGGGAGGGAACUGGUACUGAGUGAUAUAAAAAAAAAACUUUGAGAAAGUUUUAAAGCUGAGAAAAUGCAGAAGACCGUGCAGAUUAAUCUUGAAGCAAGAGAAAAGCAACUGUGGACAUAAAAAAGACAGAUUAACAAGGCAUUACUGGAAAGAGAAGGAACAAAAAUAGAGAUUUGGAGCACAUAUUCUGCAGAACGCAGCUGUUAGGAGGAAGGUGGCACAACCAGCAAUAUAAUUAUCAAAGGGUAAUAGAGUAAAGGAAUCUGGAAGCACAUUCAUGUCAUAUAGAGAAGGAGCGAAAAAAAAAUCAUCAGUCAAGCGGAAAUCCAAUCACUAGAGAGAGUGCGGGGCUGCGUUGUGCAUCCAGAAAAAUCAUUAAAAGUUUCAAGACGCAAGCAGGUAAUCCUGGUGUGUGAUUGUAAACUCAUCCUCAAUGGCCACUGCCUUUAUUCCGCCAGACAUUUCAGUAGCGAUGAACGAAGACAGUCCAGAGAAUGAGGAUUCUGGGCCUGAACCCAAGAAAAGCACUGAAAACCCAUACCUUGUGAGCACAACUACAGGGGGUGUGGAGAAUUCGUGCCACAGCUGCAUGCUGGCCUUUGGAAUAGUGACUUUCAUCAUUGGCGUAUCAACCUCAAGCCUGGCCUAUGCUACUAACUCUGUUGGUUCUGUCCUCUUCUCACUGGGCGUAACAGUGCUCUUCAUGGGCAUUGCAUCAGUCACAUUCAGCUGCGGAUGGAGAUACUAUAGGAAGAAGCAGAAAGAGAAGAUGAAAGAAGACCAAGCGGAACUGUUUUAUGAGUACCAGCAAAAAAAGAUUAGGGUGUAGCAGUAGGGUAUCAUCUAUACAAAGUGUUCCUCUUAUCUACUUGUGCUUUGCCCUCACUGAUUCUGCUGUGCCAUCAUGCAACACAUUUCAAUAGAAUUAUACAUAAGUGGGCCAUGGUAUAUUCUUUUUGUUUCCUGGAUAUUUUUUUUGAGUACAUGUGGACAUAAAUGUGGAAUAAAUGACUGGCAGUGACCAACAAAGAAUCAGUGAUGGGACGGCAGAGAGACUUCCAAAGAGUGACUUGCAGAUAAAUGCAGCCUCAGUGUGCCAUUAAAUAAUGUAAGACCUCCUAUACACUGGCAUAUCUACUAGACUCCAUGUCAAAAUGCAAUUAGGGCCCCUCCACCCCAUUGAGGAAGAUCAUCUGUUUCACACACACGGUGCCACGUGUUUUACCCACAAUGCAGUGGGGUUUUAAUUUUAGUGUAAUAGCACCUUUAAAUGUGCAUGUGCCACAACUUGCAUGCAAUUAACCAGUGCUGGUGCAAAUGAAUUUCUAUGAUGGUAAAUAACAUGAAAGAGUAAACAUUGUUAGCAUAAGAUUUAAUAACUUUAAGCCAGUUGCAUGUGCAGGGGCAGCAUAAUGGCUGCUUUGAGCUCUGUGCUUUGCAGAUUGUGUGCAGUUCAUCGCAGUCGCAAGGCGUGUGUAUUCAAGUACCUGUGUUCCUGUGAAUAGUGUUUUUGCACUCAUAAAUAAGUCCUAAAGACUAAAAGCUUCAUGUAUGACCUCAAGUGCAAAAGUGGCCACCCUUAAAAUGCCCACAAAUGUUGCACGAAUUGAUGCCAUUCAUUAAAGGUACUUGUGUUAUA